UGGAGGGUUGAAUCCACUCCUGGGGAAUUGAAACUGAGGCUGAAGAGGGACUAAUGCUCCAGCAACGUGGCUCUGCAUGAAUUAAAGGGCACCAGAUAAAGAGGACAAGCCUAAAGGGAGGAAAGGAGAAGUUUUCCAGGAGCCGGAUCACCCCGAAAGGCUGAACAGUAACACAAGCCCAGAUUGAUCCUGAAGGCAGCUCAACCCCUUGAUUGGAGGCGUUUUCCAUACCCUCAAGAUUGGACGGCACAAGGGAAAAAUACCAAGGACCAGACACAGACUAUCGUGGAGGGAACAAAUGGAGUUACCACCCCAACAUUAUUCAGGACUGUGCUGGACUCACGAGUGAAGAAGCCUGUUUUCCACGUCACAUGAGACUUUGCUGGACUGUUAUUCUAUUAUUCAACUUCUAGUUCAUGUUUGUUAAUAAAUUGUUAUUUGUUGUUUACUGAUUGUCAAAUGGUUCAUCGAAGUUACUUUGCGUCAAACACAUGGUUUCCAAAAUAAAUCCAAAGGGUUGGGUAAUACAUAUAAUAAUAACCUACAAAAACGAAACCUAAAACCAACACUUAUAACUAUACAUUCCACUUAAGUAAUAAAUGAACUAUAAAUACUAUAGUUUCUUUAAACAUUCCUUUUUUUUUUUUUUUUAUAUAUAUGUGCGUCACUAUCAUGGCUAGACUAUAGGGAUUUCGCAUGCGCGGUCUUUCCAGAUUUUUCCAAUACAUUCUGUGGGGUUUAAAAUUGCGCAUGCGCAUGUUCAAAGGCAUACACAAUAAAAGAUGGCUGCUGAGUGUCCAGAUGAAGUCCUGGACCCAUUUCCCGAGCUUACCACUCCGGUAAGUUUGUUAAUGGUAACAUUUAUGGCACUAUGGCCAAAUGACAGGUCCUUGCUUUCAAUGCAAUGUUUUCUCACCAUCAGACCACCACGUCACCUGCCAGGGAGGAAGGGUCUGGAGCGCGCAUUUCCCCCUCUGAACAUCCCGUAAGGUGAGUGUUUUUUAAACGUCUAAUCUGUAUGGUUCAUUAUAAAGGGGAAUCAAAACCUUUUUUUUUUCCUCGUUGUUUAGGCAGAGGGUGCAUUUUUCUACUGUCACACGUCAAGAACUUAUGGUGGAGGUGGAAAAGUAUAAAAGACGUUACCACAUCCUCGUCUGUGCGUUCCUGACGGUUGUUUUCUUUGCUAUUCUAUUUGUAUUCUUACUCAGCCUACAUUGUUAUAUGAAUUGUUAAGAGUCAAUUGUUCCCAAAUUCUUGUUGGCUAUUAUAUUGUUAUUGUAUGCACAUUUCAGCGUACUACUCUAAUUUGUUUAACGCCAUUGGGUGAAAUCAUAGUAGCAAAUUGCAUGUUAGUUAUAAGGUGUUGAAUUAAUCUUAUAAAACAUGGAAUAGCAUAUGGCAAAACCAAUAAGGUGGCUAAUCCACAUAACAAAUAAAAUAGGAUUCGUUUUACCCAGGGGCUCCCGAGAAGCCAGGAAAACAAGUCAAUAUUCCAGUCUUUCCAAGUUCGGACGGGAACAUGGGCUAACUUCCCUAUCUCUGAUGUGAUUUGUUUAACUACCUCACCAUUGUCAUCAAUUUUCAAACAACAAUUGGAAACAUUUAAUUUACCACAAACACCACCUUCUUCGGCUAGCAGGUAAUCGAGAACCAUCCUGUGUUGAUAAAUUGCAUUUCACAUUUGAGUUGCUUGGUCUGCCAAUAAGUGAAGAGCUUUAGCUGUUUGAUUAGUAAAAAUUUACAAGACAGCCUGUAGAUGAAUGAUACGAUUCAUAUUGUAGAUAGGUUCUCGAGCACCGCUAAUGAGUUCAUUAGGAUUCCAAGUUGCAGGUCCAUAAUACUGUAUGAUACGUUGGGGUGUCCAUUCAUUUAAUAAAUAUCGGUAACUCCCUUUUCUUGGGAGUUUGGAAAAAUCAACUUGCCACUGUUGCCCUGGCUAAUUUUCUAUCAUUUUUACUGUAACAGGUAAAGCAUUCCAGAUAUACCUGGUUAAAGAUUUCUUUUACUUCAGGGAGGUCCUCUUUUCCACUUAAAAAUUUUGGUGAAUUUGGCAUUCUUAUUUGUUUUCUUAGUUUGUACUUUAAAGGUUUCAGGAUGUUUUCCUGGUGGCCAGCAGCUCCCACAACUGUAACAAAUUCUUUUCACUGAAGUUUAACACCAAAUAAGUUGGUUUUGUAUUCACUAAAAAUCCCACCUCAUUUUUCCUAGUCCCUAGUUCACCAGUACCCCUUGUUGGUUCUUUAGCUUAGGGCAAUCUCGCUUCCAGUGUCCACUUUCCCUACAAUAUGCGCAUUCACUUCUGCCUGAUAUUCGUCCUCUGUCUCUGCUUCAUCUCCUCUACCAGUUUAGCACGACCCAGCUCUUCUUCUCUUACCUUCUGUACACGUCCCCUAUUCCUUCUAUCAACUUUUCUACAUCACGAUUACCUUAGUAAAAAUCAACUCAAACCUUUAUCCAGUCCUAUUCACAACCAACUUUCAAACAUCUAAAUUUCCCCAUCAAAGAUUCACCUUUACUCUCCUCAGACCCACUGCCUGCCCUAAAGGGGCCCUUACUGGUCCUGUUGUACUGCAAAUGCUGCAGCUAUUGGGGUGACAUUGUCAGGUCCUUCUGCUCAAUUGUCAGCAACAGCAACCCCCUCCUCCUCACCAUCAGAAGCAUUCGGGGCAGGAGAUGCUCUUCCUGCUCUGCAGGUUACACAAGCCUGCCUGUGCAACAGCACUUCUUUUUUAACUCUUUCUUACCCUGAAUGCAAAUCUGCUCCUUGUUGCUUUAAGUCUGUGUUCUUACAUAUCAUGCCUUUGCAGGCAAACAGCAAACACCCUGCCAUGCGUCCAGCAUGACUCAGCCG